AGGAAACUCCUGGUGAAAUCCUGCAGAACUGCAAUUGUCUGCCAGGGCGGUGCCACCAGCUCAGCCCUUCCACACCUGGCACUGCCCAAGUGUCACCUUCCUGGCCACCCAGGGCCUCAGGCCAGGUGGACUGCCUCACCCUUGAACCUCAACCCCAAGCAACUAGAAGGUCAAAGGGCAGCCUCCUGGUCAGCACACCCUCUGGGGGCAGGGGGCGGUGGUGCUCAGGGGCCUGGAACUCUGGCCUCAGGGAGGAAGGCCACCCAGGGAGGGCUGGGCAAUUUUCUCACCUUCUCUGGACCCCAGCUUCCCCACCUGGAACAACUGGAUUCAACACCAACUGGGGGGCCUGCUCCCCCCCACCCCAGCUCCGCAAGGACAGUGGGCACUGAAAGUCUGCGCAGCUGGUGGGCCACACGGCCCCCUGCCUUCCUUGGAGGAGAAAAGACAUUUCCUGCCACCUGCAGAGGGCCUGCCUGUGCGGGGACCAGGUGUCUCAGGAACAUUUCACGCACGGUGACAUCCCGGAGUCUACAGGGCUAUGACUCCACCCACCGCCAAAUGAGGACCUCCAGGCGCCAACAGAGACGGUUUUGUCCCAUCUCUGGACAAGUGGUUCCAUGCUCUGCCUCACUCUGCACACCACUCAGGUCCCCAGGGCUUCAGCCCGCAGGCUGCUACGGGCUCCUAAGGAUCUCGAGAGUCAAACGCAUUUUCCAAGGACUCAGCAGAGUGGGUCAUGGAUGGAGAGCCAAGGCCAACACACUCUUCUGCAAGCCUGUGGGACCCUGGGGGCAUCCCACCUAUGCACCUCAGUCUACAGCGCAGUAAGCUGAGCCUCCUCUCCUGUCGCCCCUCCACACUAGGGGGAUCUCAGCCUAGUUCCGGGAGCUGGAGUGGUGGACGCAGGCCCCAGAAACUGAUCUUUCCAGGCUGCCCUGGGGAUGACCCCUGCCUGUGUAGACCCCUGGGAACCUUGGGGACACCUGCCCCUCUGCCUGGCAUCUCUCUCCCUCCUCUCAGGCCCCUGAGCAUGUAGCCAGGAGACUGGAUGGUCCUGUCCCAUGGUGCCGCUGCCUCCAACCGCUUUCUUCUUUCCCCGGGUCACCUCCCAGUGUGUCCUCUCCCCCUCUGUAUCUAAGCCACGGUUCACACCGGGGACAUCAAGGUGUGUGUGUAUGUACCUGUGGGCCCAUCCAGAUGCACAGCGGAAAAGACCCCUCCUGGGAGGAGGUGGACGGGGGUCCCGCAGAAUCUUAGGGGCUCUCAUUCCCAAGGGAAACCCCAUGGGGGUGGCUGAGCCCUGGCCUGGGAGGCCAGACCCUCCCUUCUUUUCUGGGCUCUGCCCACCUCGUGGGCUCCUGGCCAGUCCCUGUUUCUCUCUCGGCCUCAAUCUCCCAAUUGUACCA
rnacentral:lncRNA from 1 species